rnacentral:lncRNA from 1 species
CUUGCAAAAUCAUUUACUGAAGUACUUUCUCAUGCAUAUUGUGUUUCCUCGAGUUUUUUCUUAUUUUGGGUUAAGAGACUCUAUAGUCUGUACGUAAUAUUAAGCUAGGAAAAUAUAAUACUAUUGCAUUCCGUACAAAAAACAACUAUAGGUUUUCCGUGCAAAUUGAAAAUUUGGGCCUAGUUGCCAAAACGCCACUCCUCAAUUAGAUCAAAAUAUACCACGAGCGCACGACAUUCCUCUUUGUGAUGAUGAACUUACUUGUAAGGGCGGAUGAAGGGAUUUAUGAUAGGAGGGAAACCGAAAGGAGGGAAACCGAAAGGAGGUGCUGUAGGGAAACCGAAAGGAGGUGCUGUGAUGGAAGGGAAGCUCGGAGUGCCGGGAUCGAUGGGAGUGG